GUGCCUAAUACAUGCAAGUCGAACGAACUUCCGUUAAUUGAUUAUGACGUGCUUGCACUGAAUGAGAUUUUAACACGAAGUGAGUGGCGGACGGGUGAGUAACACGUGGGUAACCUGCCCAGAAGCAGGGGAUAACACCUGGAAACAGAUGCUAAUACCGUAUAACAGAGAAAACCGCCUGGUUUUCUUUUAAAAGAUGGCUCUGCUAUCACUUCUGGAUGGACCCGCGGCGCAUUAGCUAGUUGGUGAGGUAACGGCUCACCAAGGCGAUGAUGCGUAGCCGACCUGAGAGGGUAAUCGGCCACAUUGGGACUGAGACACGGCCCAGACUCCUACGGGAGGCAGCAGUAGGGAAUCUUCCACAAUGGACGCAAGUCUGAUGGAGCAACGCCGCGUGAGUGAAGAAGGGUUUCGGCU
rnacentral:rRNA from 1 species